CACGGAGUUAGCCGGAGCUUACAAACGGUACCGUCAUCGCUGAUGAUGUUAACACCAACUUAUUCUUCCCGUUCUUGCGAAGUUUACAUCCCGAGGGAUUUCAUCCUUCACGCGGCGUUGCUGGGUCAGGCUUUCGCCCAUUGCCCAAAAUUCCCGA
rnacentral:rRNA from 1 species